rnacentral:rRNA from 1 species
UUUAACCUACGGGGGGCAGCAGUGGGGAAUCUUCCGCAAUGGGCGAAAGCCUGACGGAGCAAUGCCGCGUGAGUGAAGAAGGCCUUCGGGUUGUAAAACUCUGUCCUUAUCGAAGAGAGGUGGGUAUGUGAAUAAUGUACUCAUAGGACGGUAGAUAAGGAGGAAGCCCCGGCUAACUACGUGCCAGCAGCCGCGGUAAUACGUAGGGGGCGAGCGUUGUCCGGAAUCACUGGGCGUAAAGGGCGCGUAGGUGGGCGCUUAAGUCAGGUGUGAAAACUCCGGGCUCAACCUGGAGACUGCACUUG